AACUAUUUAGGCUGGUGAAAAAGUAAUUGUGGUUUUUGCCAUGGAAAGUAAUGACAAAAACUGUAAUUACUUUUGCACCAACAUGUAAUA
ensembl:miRNA